GUGAUCCACCUGGGGAGUACGGUCGCAAGAUCGAUACUCAAAGGAAUUGACGGGGGCCCGCAUAAGCGGAGGAACAUGUGGUUUAAUUCGAUGAUACGCGAGGAACCUUACCUGGGCUUAAAUGCAGAGCGACGUCCGCCGAAAGGUGGAUUCCUUCGGGCGAUCUGCAAGGUGCUGCAUGGUUGUCGUCAGCUCGUGCCGUGAGGUGUCGGGUUAAGUCCCAUAACGAGCGCAACCCUUAUCGUUAGUUGCCAGCGGGUAAUGCCGGGGACUCUAACGAAACUGCCGGUGUAAACCGUGAGGAAGGUGGGGAUGACGUCAAAUCAGCACGGCCCUUAUGUCCAGGGCUACACACGUGUUACAAUGGUCGGUACAGAGGGCAGCUACCACGCAAGUGGAUGCUAAUCUCGAAAACCGGUCUCAGUUCGGAUUGAAGUCUGCAACUCGACUUCAUGAAGCUGGAUUCGCUAGUAAUCGCGCAUCAGCCAUGGCGCGGUGAAUACGUUCCCGGGCAUUGUACACACCGCCCGUCAAGCCAUGGAAGCUUGGGGUACCUGAAGUCCGUAACCGC
rnacentral:rRNA from 1 species